CUUUUAGUAUCCAGGACCAGAUCUAACGUACAGUUAAAAUCCCCACAUACUAUAAUGUUUCCCUUAUGUAAAUGGAUUAUCUUAUUAAACGCCUUGGACAAAAACGAAACUUGAGAAUUAUUUGGAGCAUAUAAUGAAGCAACUGUAAUCUGCAUUCCAUUUAGAAUACCCACCACAAUCAAUAACCUGCCCAUCUCAUCGUUAAAGAUUGUAUCUUGAUGAAAUACCCAGUCCUCAUGAAAUAGUAUUGCUACUCCUUCUGAUUUUUGCGGAGAGAGGGCAUGGAAGAUUUGGGGCUAUUUAGCUGAUUC